AUGAUCCCUGCAGCUCUGCUUAUGCUGUUGGCAGCCUCCAGUGUGAGGAGUGACGUGGUACUCACUCAGCCGAGUUCCAUGAUGACACAGCCCGGUCAGUCUUUAAGUCUCACCUGCAAAGUUGCUGGGUAUGACCUGACAAGUACCUAUUGUACAUCAUGGAUAUGGCAGCCUGCAGGAAAAGCACUGGAGUGGAUUGCACUUAUAUGCCACGAUGGGAGCACAUCUUACAGUGAUCAACUGAAAAACAAGUUCAGCAUCUCCAGAGACACCUCCAGCAGCACAGUGACUCUACAGGGCCAGAAUCUCCAGGCUGGAGACACAGCUGUGUAUUACUGUGCCCGAUAUCACUGUUGUGGACAUGGUCAGACACUGACUGAAUCUGAACCAGUGGUCAUCAGUCCUGGAGGAUCUCACAAACUGACCUGCACAGCAUCUGGGUACACAUUCAGUAGCUACUAUAUAGCUUGGAUCAGGCAGGCUCCUGGGAAAGGAUUGGAAUGGAUCGCAAGCAUGUACACCUCUUCAUACAUCUACCACUCUCAGGCUAUUCAGGGUCGGUUCACCAUCUCUAGAGAUGACAGUAUUGGCCAGGCAUAUCUGCAGAUGAACAGCCUGAAGACUGAAGACACAGCUGUGUAUUACUGUGCCAGAGAGUCACAGUGGCAGAGGAGGCUCCAAGGCUGA